GCCCCAUAUGGGGGCUCAAACAACCCAAGAAAGCAGUUUAGGUCUACCAGAAGGAUGCCCUCUCCAAACUUAGUACAUCUCAUAAUGUAAACACGUAAUUUCUGUUGUCUAAGUGACCAGACUUCUACCAAAAUACCAAGUGUAUUUGUCAAAGCGAACCUUGCUGCCUCUGGACUUGGACAAAAGAGGAUCUCCUUCACAGGAAAUGAAGCUGACCCAGAAGUCCUUUACGAAAAGCUAAUUGAGGCCUCCCCAAGCUUACAGAUGCUGGAGGGUUUGCGCUUCUAAAAAUUGCAGGGACAACACGGUGCAGAAAUUUGGAACUUAUUCCCUGUCAACAUGAGGGAUACACAGUACAGUAUUUAAAAGCAUCAGAGAAAAGUUUUGGACAAGCAACAAUUUGUAUUCGUCCUCUGCAAAGAAGUCUACCUGUUAAUGCUGAGUUCUGAUCAGGCGUGUACAGGCAGUGAUGAGCCAGUGGUAGCAGAGCCAACCUUUCCCAACUAUGACCUACACAGCAGAAACACAGCAACUGAAGUCAGACCAUCUUCCUCAGCAAGUACUGCAAACAGUACAGAACCUUACCCUGACAUUACUGGAGAUGAGUUGAAGGAGAAAAUUGAUUGGGAAAAACCUAAGUGAUCCACAGUAAGCAGCAAAGGAUUUUAAAAUGGCUUUGCUAAAAGAUAAUGAACAUGAAAGACCACUUGUUCUGAAAAUGGAUAUAAUCUGUUAGCGAGGAAGAUAGUGAAAAUCUCUUCUUUACUUUUAUAAAAGAAAGCAAAAUUGGCCUCCCCAGUUACCUGUACCCUGGAAGUACAUUGUACAGUGAACACAUUUUAGAGAAAUCUUGUUUUUUCUAUCCUAUUGUGUGAGUGAUAACAUUGAUGUCAUUAAUGUAGGAUAUGCAGCUGUUGGAGAGGGUGUGGUUCGACACAUUUUUAGCACACUGCUGGGAAAGAUUCAAUUUGGUUUCAAUAUGAAUAUUGGAAAUGUAGUACAGACAUUAUUGUUUGAAGGAGAACCUGACCACCUGAUCCCAAGCAAUUCUGAGUGUCUCGUUGAGAGCAGUCUUUUUGAAGCAGCUGGAAGAAUAUUGGGGCACUCUUUCUAGCAGGAUGGGCCUUGUCUGGUUGGACUGAGUCCUGUUAUCAUACAUGUAUUACUCUGAGGUCAACCAGAGUUGGCAACUGUGGCAACUAAAGAUUGUGCAGACCUGGACUACAGAGCCACAAUACAACUAUCUAGCUGCAAGGAGAUACAGCACUUACGACAGAGCAGGAGGACACAAUAUCACACCUUGCCCUGGCGUGGGAUCUGCCAGCUGUAUCCACAACUAACAGGAGAUGAUUCUGGAGAGAAUUAACUGGCCGACAGAUGCUUGUAGCGAUGAAGAUGAUGAAGAGUUCUGUGUGGAAACCAAGUGCUGGGUUGCAGGUUUCUUAAGAAUGUUCAUUGAAAAUGGUAUGUUUAUAUAUUUUGCUCUGUGUCAAGGAAGGCACCACCUCCUGAUAAAAAUCAUGUCUUACACUUCACUUAUUUUGCAGCAUCAUCAAGAGAGUUGGCUGAACUCCUUAAAUUCUGGGUGGGAUGGGAGAUCUUGCCAAAGGAGCUUAAUGUUGAGCUAUCAACUGGUACCUGUAUAACAUCAGCCGCAUGUUUCGAAAAACUGAGGAUACCAGCAAACCUCCAGAACUACUCAAACUUUGCGACCUCUCUUGAAGCUUCAAUUAGCCGUAUUUAUUCUGGUUUUGGCCUUGUCUGAUCAUUGAAAUGUUACUUAUCCACACAUUUGUUAUUGAUGUUGACUUCUGUUUCAUUUACAGGACAGUUGUAUAACUUUCGAAUGGUUAGCUGUACUAUGCAAUUCCUUAUUACUACUGAAGCUUAAAAUUAGGAUAAAAUAUUUUUUGGACACAGUCUUUUCUCAGUGUCUUUAUUCCUCACAAAUCAGUCUUUGUUAUCUUGCUAGGACAAUAUACAUGCUAGGUAACAGAUAAUUCAGUCGCAUGAAAUAAAGACAAUACAUUUUUUAAAAAAAAGAAAAACUGUCACCCUAAUCAGUUUAAUAUGCUUCUAAUAUGUUGCACAGUUUCUACAUAGUUGGCCACUGCAUUAUCACAGCUGUCUGCUGGAGCAGGCAAUGAGGCAGCUUCUGCAUCAGUGAGAUCACGAGGCAGUUGAAUCUCUGGCACAGACACACUGCUAUGGUGGCUAUGAGGUCCAACCCAGUCAACUUCGUAACUGAUGCUAAAUACAAACAGCUGAAGAUGCCAGAGACACAUUUCCCAGGAAAGCCAUUAACACUGUACUCAAUAACCUUCUAUGUAGAUGACUGCUUAAAGUCAGUGGGAAAAGAAGAACAAGCAAUAAAGCUGGCAAGGACUUUCAACCUCUAUGCCUCAGCGGGGGAUUCCACCUGACUAAGUGGAAGCAAAGAAUAAAAGUAAACCGACGUAUCGCGGAGCCAAAAUGUCUGAAGUGUAUUUACGGCCCUCGUUGAUGACUUCACAAAGAAGUCCGAAACAAGACGUCACUUACCACCUUUAAUUUCCUGUAGCCAUUUCUGUUUCUGUAUAAAUACCCCCCGUUUUGCCUUAUGAGUUUGUCAAAUGCUUGGUUGAACCUGUUGUGUUUCAGCAUUUUUUGACCUGUCCGUUGGACAUUACAUGGGGUGGUUCCCCAAAACUUUAUUUGACUGGCUAUCACAUUUUCCUUUCUUACAAUAUAUACUAGGGGGCUUCGUCCCCUGCUCGCUUUGCGAACCCACCCCUUCCCCCUUACCCCAGGGUGUGCCACGCACCAGCCACUUCGCAUCUCUGCUGCUUGCAUUGUGAUGGGAUUGGCUGAAUGCAUGCUUUGCAGAUGCAGAUGGAUCACCUGCUUGCUUACUGCUCCUCCUGCCAUGCUGCGUAUUCUGCUUCUCGCACUGCACGGUGAUCAUUUCAAAGCCUGUACAACAGCCGUCCUCGCUGCACCUGAUUUGCUCAAACACCAUUUUGAGUUCAUUUAAUAAACGUAAGACUUUCUGAUAAAACAAUCUGCUUACGAAAGUGGGAAUAUCCAGACCUGA